UACGUAGGGUGCGAGCGUUAAUCGGAAUUACUGGGCGUAAAGCGUGCGCAGGCGGUUUUGUAAGCCAGAUGUGAAAUCCCCGGGCUCAACCUGGGAAUGGCAUUUGGGACUGCAAGGCUGGAGUGCGGCAGAGGAGACUGGAAUUCCUGGUGUAGCAGUGAAAUGCGUAGAUAUCUGGAGGAACACCGGUGGCGAAGGCGGCAUCCUGGACCGGUAUUGACGCUGAGGCGCGAAAGCCAGGGGAGCAAACGGG
rnacentral:rRNA from 1 species